ACCACGCCCACGGCCCCUUCCCCUGCCACGACCACGCCCUGCAAGACCCCCUAGUGAGGUUUAAUACAAGAACAGAAUUUCAUACAAACUAACAAUAACUAGGAACACAAAAUGCUAAAAAUAUGCAUGGUUGUAAAGAUUAUGGACAACUCAUAUUUUCUCCCUUCAAUUUUCCCUAAAUGGAAUUGUUUGCUAUUAUAUCCUUGAACUUCUUUAUUUGGUGCUAUCAAUUCCAAUUUUGCUGACUAAACAAAAUUAGUCAAAAUUGAUAUUAAAAUCUUUGCUAACAUCAUUGACCAUGCCACGACAUUUUUAAAUACAUUUUUUUUUCAUUUUUGUCAAAAAUAACAAAAUGCAUUCUCUUCUUAAAUAGAGAAAAUUAAUAUCUAAUUACAAUUCUUUAACCUUGACUAUGUCAAAUUCAUAUGAGCAAUUUUUUUUCAAAAAAAAGGUCAUUAGAACAAGAAAUUAAGUUUUUCAAUAUUACUUUGAAAAAUCAGUAUUAUAUUAUAUUAAAAAAAUGAAAAGUAACAGAUUUUAAAAAAGACUGUCUUCUACCAUG
rnacentral:misc_RNA from 1 species